rnacentral:rRNA from 1 species
AUUGAACGCUGGCGGCAGGCCUAACACAUGCAAGUCGAGCGGGGUUUUCGGACCUAGCGGCGGACGGGUGAGUAAUGCGUAGGAAGCUACCCGAUAGAGGGGGAUACCAGUUGGAAACGACUGUUAAUACCGCAUAAUGUCUACGGACCAAAGUGUGGGACCUUCGGGCCACAUACUAUCGGAUGCGCCUACGUGGGAUUAGCUAGUUGGUGAGGUAAUGGCUCACCAAGGCGACGAUCUCUAGCUGGUUUGAGAGGAUGAUCAGCCACACUGGAACUGAGACACGGUCCAGACUCCUACGGGAGGCAGCAGUGGGGAAUAUUGGACAAUGGGCGCAAGCCUGAUCCAGCCAUGCCGCGUGUGUGAAGAAGGCCUUCGGUUGUUAAAGCACUUCUANCGAGGAGGAGAGUGUGUGU